AACGAACGCUGGCGGCAGGCCUAACACAUGCAAGUCGAGCGCAUCGCAAGGUGAGCGGCGGACGGGUUAGUAACGCGUGGGAACGUGCCCUUUUCUUCGGAAUAGCCUCGGGAAACUGAGGGUAAUACCGGAUACGCCCUUUGGGGGAAAGAUUUAUCGGGGAAGGAUCGGCCCGCGUCUGAUUAGGUAGUUGGUGGGGUAAUGGCCUACCAAGCCUACGAUCAGUAGCUGGUUUGAGAGGAUGAUCAGCAACACUGGGACUGAGACACGGCCCAGACUCCUACGGGAGGCAGCAGUGGGGAAUCUUAGACAAUGGGGGCAACCCUGAUCUAGCCAUGCCGCGUGAGUGAUGAAGGCCUUAGGGUUGUAAAGCUCUUUCAGCUGGGAAGAUAAUGACGGUACCAGCAGAAGAAGCCCCGGCUAACUCCGUGCCAGCCGCCGCAGUAACAC
rnacentral:rRNA from 1 species